CAAUGUAUCAGCGCGAGCUCAAUGUCGACCAGAGUGGUCAAGUUGAGCACGCCACCCCGAAAUCAAUGUGAAAUACCCUGCCAUUUGCAACAGUAGGCAACCUGUCCUUAAAAAGUAUGGGUCCUCAAAACAGCACUUGUUGCACAAAUAAGUGUAGAUGGCCUCUUCAAGAAAUUGAAAUUAUGUAUGGUCACUUUUUCUUAUUGUUUCACGUGGAGGUCUACUGACCUUGUCUAAAUAAUGUAGGCUAGUUUAUGUCCAUGUAUUAUAUUAGGACCCAAGGUUAAUGGGUUAUUCUAUUUACCAUGUUUUCACAGGCUGCUGUCUCAUAAUAUGGCGAAGACGAGUCACCUGAAGGCCUAACUCGCCAUAGAAGACUGAAAGAAUGUAAGAUUAACUUCUUUGUGACCAAUAUGACUUGCUCAUUGAUACAUUUGCUAUGUCAAUAUGAGGUGCAUGGCAAAGUAUUUAAUUUAUUUGUCUCGCUUCUAGGAGCUGUAGAAACAACAGGGUGUUCUUUUUCAGGGUAUUCUUUUUUAUAGAACUGGACAGGUCAUUUAUUCGUUACCCUUGUUUUUGAAGUGUCCUGCAGGAUGCUGUGUCCUGCAAUCCUGUGUGCUGUGCUACAGACGCAUGUGGAGGUCAACCCAAAAUGGGCACAGUCUCACCGCAGAAGAGUGAAAGAGGAUCCUGGCAGGGAGACGGUAGUGUCCUGCAGAAUGGUGAUGGGCCAAUCUUACAAGAGACCACAGAAAACUGAUAUAGUGUAAGAUUAUCCCUGUUGGGCUCAAUAGGUCUUGCUUAUUGACAUAUUUGCUAUGUCAAUAUGAGGUGCAUGGCAAAGUAUUUAUUUAUUUGUCUCGCUUCUAAGAACUAUAGAAACAACAGUGCCUGCUGCAGUAUAAUGAGGACACCCUGAGCAGAGAGCUCCAAUAGACCCAGGUCCAGUGUCUUGGCAGGGUGAAAUGGCACUGAUAUGGUGUCCUGCAGGAUGCUGUGUCCUGCAAUCCUGUGUGCUGUGCUACAGACGCGUGUGGAGGUCAACCCAAAACGGGCACAGUCUCACCACAGAAGAGUGAAAGAGGCUCCCAGAAGUGAGACUGAGUGCCUGUUGCAGUAUGACGAGGACGCAGUGACCAGAGACCUUCAGUAGACCCUGGCUGAAGAACAUGAAAUCAACUGCAAUGUUUAUAAUGUUGUACAUACCUGUAUAGUCUGUAUUAAAAGGCAGUACCUGUAGUAUUUUUCCUCUUACUUUCAUAUUUACCACAUAUUUACUAUGAAUUGACAACUUUUACUAAAAUCCAUUUUUGUAUGUGCCCUGACUAAAACUAUCCUUAAACCUAACCUGUCAGAGAUGUAACAACAACCUGCUCUUAGCAAUGUGGCAGCAGUCUACUUGGAUGCAGCGGGGAACAUAGAACCCUUUUUUGAAAAAGCAUUGUAUGUUUCUGAGUUUUAUGAAUUGUGCCCUUCCCAAACAUCAUGCAUAGGCUAAGCGUAUCUAUGACACGCUGAUUUGAACUCACUAUCGCGUGUGUCCAAUACGCAUUUUCAAGUUAAGUCGUGCUCCACAACGCCCUGUGACAGGUUAGGUUUAGGGAUGGUUUUGGUUUAGGCACAAUUUAGGUAGAAAUUCGCCUAAUCUUGCUGUUCUUGGCAAAAGUAAAGCAGCAGAAACAUUACUUCACUGACAGGUUAGGUUUAGGGGUGGUUUUGGUUAGGGCACAGCAAAACAUAUUUGCGUUUAGUAACAGAAAUGCGCUGUGACAAAACAAAAUCGCCGACACGGCGGGAAAACUGCGCAAACCUCGUCACUAGUCAAAAGUGCAUGAAAGCGCUUUACCGUUGCGUUGAGGAGCACGCUUUGAAUUCAAAAUGCGUCGCACCAUGCACUAGCGUGCGAUACGUACGCUAAAGCAUGAUGACAGCCUGCCCAAACUUAACCUGUCGGUAAUGAAAUGU